ACAUCUUUCUCUCUCAUCUAAGUAAAAGCCUGUUCAUUUCAAAAGCUAAAGUCAAAAACUUCUCUUUCUCUCUUCCUGCAGCAGAAGCCUAUGCGUUUGCAGGUUUCCUCAAAUAACUUAUCUCAUUCAAAAUUCAAAUUCAUUAUCAUCAAACGAAAUCUGCAAAACAAAUUCCAAAACGCAGAGGAAAAGAGAGAGAAGAGACGACCUCUAUUUCAUCUUUUCAAAAACCCUAAACCCAAUCUAAAAAGGAAGACCACGCUAGCUUGAUGGGAGUUUGUUUGUGGGGUUUGUUGUAUUUGUUUUUGCUAGAUUGAGGAUCUUGAAUCGUCGACUAUGAUCGUGGAUUCUGAUUCACAAAAGGGGACUCAACCAAGGUAACGCAUUGAUUCCAUUUUGGGUAGUGGAAACUUGAGAGAAGCUGUGAGGCUUAUUCCAAUUCUCUGCAUUCGACAACAUAUUUCAUACACAGGUUUAUUUUUAAAAUUUCAAAUAAAAUCCAGGUUGUAACUGUCUUAUUCAGCUAUAUUUAGCAUCACAACCACAUAAAACUGAACUUUAAUAGGUGGUGGUUUGAGUUUUGAUCAUAGUUAUCAAAGGCGUGAAUCUAACACGAAAUUUGCGGGUUUUAGUUUAGUCUAAACGGGUUCGGGUCAGUUUCCGGCUGAACACGUUUAGCUAAACGGGUCAGGUUCAGGUCAACCCUUUGGGUUGGCGGGUUGACCAGUUUAACCAAUUUAUAUUAUAUUAUUCUUUUAUACAAUAUGUAUUAUGUUAUAAAUUAAAUUAAAUUGGGUGUUUUUUGUAGUAAGUGUUUAUUUAAGUCUACUAAUUUGCUGAAAAAAGUAGAAAAAAAUUAAAAAAAUCGGGUUGAUCGUGGCGGGUUUGGGUCAAUAUGCGAAUAUUCGAGUCCUGUUUCGGUUCAUAUGUAUGGCACGAUUUCGGGUCGGGUUGAACCCGCAAACACGGCCCGUUUAGCACCCCUAUUUAACAUGCAAGGAAAUGAAACUUAAAAGUGUGUGUUAUUAUUUAUGCAUACAGUUGCUAUUACGUUUUAUCAUUUCUGUUUAUUCUCUGUUUCAGUAAGGUAAAUAGCCUGCAACUUCUUGAUUUAUGAGGUAGAAACUUGAUGAUAUUUAAAAGAUUUAAUGCCAUUUAUGAACUUUUGGUAGUUCGUAAGGCUUGCACAUCUUAUUGGUAUGGAUCUAAUAUAGAAAUAAGUCGAGUCAACAGGUAUGCACUCAAUAAUUAUCUAUUGUUCGUUUUAUAGAUUUUUUGUUAACCAUGUGAGCCAAUUACCAUACUCAUGGACUCCAGCGAUACCCAACCAACCAGUUACAUUGGGCGGAUGGGCUCUUUUUUUUGUGUAAAUGCAGUGGUUUCCUUAGCAUGUUACCUUGUCUUAAGUCCGCAAUUUGGCCUUCAGUUCCCUCUAAUGCAUUUUUUCGUAUUUUUUAUUGUUUCAAUACUAUGUGACUUUAAAUGGGUUGUCAUGGUUAUUGAUAAUUAGUUUCCAGUACACAUCAAAUAACAACUUUUCUUGAAUACCCAUUUGAUUCUAGAACAGGAAAGUAAGGAAUAUUAUGUUACAAAAUGGGUAGUAAAAGUCAACAUCUUGAGAAGUUUGACAUUUUAUGAAUAGCACCAUCCUUUUAUUACAUACAGGGAUCAUUCCAACGAUUUGGUUUCAUGUUUGGCUGAAUUCAAGAAGUUCGAGAGACUAGACCUCACCUUCAAUAAUCUGUUGUCACACGAGGUUGAAGGAGCUGUGUUGGAAGAUGGACGUACUUGCAGCAUUUGGGACAAAUUUGCACAUGAAAUUAAAUAAUAAUACGGCAUCGUUUUCGUUCAGCUGUUUAGUUGGAACUUGUAGUCGACUCAUUCAGGUGUUUGGAUGUGUGUUUUCGGUUUGAAGUAUAAUUUCCUAAUGAGUUGUCCUCAAUGGGACAUUAUGGUGU